ensembl:lncRNA
UUCCUCUGAGGACCAUUUCGCUGUCGAGAGCGUUUCUGUGUUGAUUGAAACCAUAGACAGUAAAAGAAACAAGCUUCAGUUCAUUCUUGGGAAAGCGUAAAGGCGCAGUGCUGUCAUGUAUGGAGUGCUGUGCUGGUCCCCCACCCCCUCGUCUUCUGUCAUAGUGGUGGCAGGUCUGUCCCGACCAGGAGCAGAUUGAAUUGCAAAUCUCCUGACUUCUGUCGGCGUCCGAGGCUGAACUGGCCCUUUGCAGUCGGCCAUUCAUGUGGUAAUAUGAAGUCCGAGGGGCAAGAGGGGCCCUGGGGCCACAGAGAGUCACUUUCGGGGACACUCCCAAUUGAC